UACGAGGGGGGCAAGCGUUGUUCGGAAUUAUUGGGCGUAAAGAGCUCGUAGGCGGUUCGUCGCGUCGGCUGUGAAAUCCCGAGGCUCAACCUCGGGUCUGCAGUCGAUACGGGCGGACUGGAGUUCGGCAGGGGAGACUGGAAUUCCUGGUGUAGCGGUGAAAUGCGUAGAUAUCGGAAGGAACAUCAGUGGCGAAAGCGACUUCCUGGUCCAGCAUCGACGUUCAGGCACGAAAGCGUGGGGAGCAAACAGG
rnacentral:rRNA from 1 species